GGAUAGGGACUUGAUGAUGUAUCUUAGAGCUGCAAGAAGUGUGGCAGCAUUUACAGGGAUGUGUGAUGGAGGCUCAACAGAUGAUGGUUGCCAGGCAGCCUCUAUGGACGAGACCACCAUUAAUGCUAUGGAUA